rnacentral:ncRNA from 1 species
GUUGAGUUUGAUGAUGGCUCUGAGUGAACGCUGUCCAAAUGCUUGACACAUGCUAAUCGUACGACUUCGCUCAUAAAAAAAAAGAGCGAAGCAGUGGUGUACAGGUGAGUAUAAGAUAACGUGACUGCCUUGGAGUAAGGAGAAAGAUCCCUUAUAAUAAUAAAGAAACUAAGGUUUCGCUCUUAGAAGCAUGUAUCUCGUGUAGUUGUAGUAGUUAAAGUAGUGGUUUAACUAGCCUUAUACACGUAGUCGAAACUGAAAGGUUGAUCGAUCACAGUGGGACUGGACAAAUCCCACGAUUAUUAUCACAGCAGUGAGGAAUAUUGGUCAAUAGCCUAACGGCUGAACCAGCAAUUUGGAAGAAUGUAUAGCAAUAGCUGAUUGCACCAACAAACAGUUGAUGCAAAAUUGAUUAUAUCAAAUAAAAUUCUAGGUAGAUUUUUGAUAAUGACAUUGCUUACCUAAGUCUUGACCAAAUUACGUGCCAGCAGUCGCGGUAAUACGUAAAAGACUAGUGUUAUUCAUCUUUAAUUGGUUUAAAGGGUACCUAGACAGCGAAUAAAGCCAUAGUAGGGACUAAUUCGCUAGAGUUACUUAUGAGGGGGUAUUAAAGUACUGCAGGUGUAGAGAUGAAAUUUUGUUAUACCUCUUUUCGUAUGAGAAACUAUGGCACAGGUAUAGGUGAAAGCAUCCCCUUAUGUGAUAACUGACGUUGAGGGACGAAGGCUUUGUGUCGCGAACAGGAUUAGAUACCCCAGUAGUCAAAGCAGAAAAUGAUGAAUGUCAUAGAUUAGAUAUACAAUUUAUUCUAUAAAUGAAAGUGUAAGCAUUCCACCUCAAGAGUAAUUUGGCAACAUUGGAACUGAAAUCAUUAGACCGUUUCUGAAACCAGUAGUGAAGUAUGUUUAUUUACAAGCGUUGCACGGCUGUCUUCAGUUAAUGUCGUGAGAUUUUGGUUAGUUCCAUUAAAUUAACGUAAACCCUUACUUUAUUUUUAUAUAAAGUAGUUCCCCGCUAUAUUGGAUAUGAUAACAGGGACUAAGACAAGUCAUCAUGGCCUGAAUAUUGUGGGCUAUAGACGUGCCACAUAAACCUUACAAAAGGAUGUGAAAUUGUGAAAUUGAGCUAAUCCUCCAAAAAUGGAUAAACAUUUAAUGGAUUGCAGUCUGUAACUCGACUGCGUGAAAAAGGAAUUACUAGUAAUCGUGUAUAAGUACGGCACGGUGAAUAUAAUCUCAGAUAGGUACUAACUACUCGUCAGGCGCUGAAAAAAGUAUGUGCAAUAAGUUUGGCUAGUGCUUAUUUUUAUUUCGGGCGAUCUUGUCCAAAAACUUAGGCAUGUUGUCUUCGUAUGCGUGACUUUGAUUGGUGUUAAGUCGAAAUACGGUUCGUGUAGUGGAAAUUGCACGGGAUUUAUGUAUAUUAA